rnacentral:rRNA from 1 species
GGAUCCAGACUUUGAUUCUGGCUCGGGAUGAACGCUAGCGACAGGCUUAACACAUGCAAGUCGAGGGGCAGCGAGGGAGUGGUAACACUCCUGUCGGCGACCGGCGCACGGGUGAGUAACGCGUAUGCAACCUGCCCUUCACAGGGGGAUAACCGGGAGAAAUUCCGACUAAUACCGCAUACGUCCUCCGGGGGCAUCCCCGGGGGAUGAAAGAAUUAUCGGUGAAGGAUGGGCAUGCGUGAUAUUAGGUAGUUGGCGGGGCAACGGCCCACCAAGCCCACGAUAUCUAGGGGUUCUGAGGGGAAGGUCCCCCACAUUGGUACUGAGACACGGACCAAACUCCUACGGGAGGCAGCAGUGAGGAAUAUUGGUCAAUGGACGAGAGUCUGAACCAGCCAAGUCGCGUGAAGGAAGACGGAUCUAUGGUUUGUAAACUUCUUUAGUGCGGGAACAAAGCGGUGUCGUGACGCCGGAUGAGUGUACCGCAAGAAUAAGCAUCGGCUAACUCCGUGCCAGCAGCCGCGGUAAUACGGAGGAUGCGAGCGUUAUCCGGAUUUAUUGGGUUUAAAGGGAGCGCAGGCUGCGAGGCAAGUCAGCGGUCAAAUGUCGGGGCUCAACCCCGGCCUGCCGUUGAAACUGUCUUGCUAGAGUUCGAGUGAGGUAUGCGGAAUGCGUUGUGUAGCGGUGAAAUGCAUAGAUAUGACGCAGAACUCCGAUUGCGAAGGCAGCAUACCAACUCGCGACUGACGCUGAGGCUCGAAAGCGUGGGUAUCGAACAGGAUUAGAUACCCUGGUAGUCCACGCAGUAAACGAUGAAUACUAACUGUUCGGAGGGCGACCUCUGAGUGGUAAAGCGAAAGCGUUAAGUAUUCCACCUGGGGAGUACGCCGGCAACGGUGCAACUCAAAUGAAUUGACGG